rnacentral:rRNA from 1 species
GACGAACGCUGGCGGCGUGCUUAACACAUGCAAGUCGAACGGAAAGGCCCUGCUUUUGUGGGGUGCUCGAGUGGCGAACGGGUGAGUAACACGUGAGUAACCUGCCCUUGACUUUGGGAUAACUUCAGGAAACUGGGGCUAAUACCGGAUAGGAGCUCCUGCUGCAUGGGGGGGGUUGGAAAGUUUCGGCGGUUGGGGAUGGACUCGCGGCUUAUCAGCUUGUUGGUGGAGUAGUGGCUUACCAAGGUUUUGACGGGUAGCCGGCCUGAGAGGGUGGCCGGCGACAAUGGGACUAAGAUACGGCGCAGACGGCUACGGGAGGCAGUGGUGGGGAAUAUUGCACAAUGGGCGGAAGCCUGUUGCAGCGACGCCGCGUGCGGGAUGACCUCCUUCGGGUUGUAAACCACUUUCGACUGUGACGAAGCGUGAGUGACGGUAAUGGGUAAAGAAGCACCGGCUAACUACGUG